GUAGUCCACGCCGUAAACGAUGUCGACUUGGAGGUUGUGCCCUUGAGGCGUGGCUUCCGGAGCUAACGCGUUAAGUCGACCGCCUGGGGAGUACGGCCGCAAGGUUAAAACUCAAAUGAAUUGACGGGGGCCCGCACAAGCGGUGGAGCAUGUGGUUUAAUUCGAUGCAACGCGAAGAACCUUACCUGGUCUUGACAUCCACAGAACUUUCCAGAGAUGGAUUGGUGCCUUCGGGAACUGUGAGACAGGUGCUGCAUGGCUGUCGUCAGCUCGUGUUGUGAAAUGUUGGGUUAAGUCCCGCAACGAGCGCAACCCUUAUCCUUUGUUGCCAGCGGUCCGGCCGGGAACUCAAAGGAGACUGCCAGUGAUAAACUGGAGGAAGGUGGGGAUGACGUCAAGUCAUCAUGGCCCUUACGACCAGGGCUACACACGUGCUACAAUGGCGCAUACAAAGAGAAGCGACCUCGCGAGAGCAAGCGGACCUCAUAAAGUGCGUCGUAGUCCGGAUUGGAGUCUGCAACUCGACUCCAUGAAGUCGGAAUCGCUAGUAAUCGUGGAUCAGAAUGCCACGGUGAAUACGUUCCCGGGCCUUGUACACACCGCCCGUCACACCAUGGGAGUGGGUUGCAAAAGAAGUAGGUAGCUUAACCUUCGGGAGGGCGCUUACCACUUUGUGAUUCAUGACUGGGGUGAAGUCGUAACAAGGUAACCGUAGGGGAACCUGCGGUUGGAUCACCUCCUU
rnacentral:rRNA from 1 species